AGAUAAGAUUUUAUACCUGCUAUGUCUAGCUCAGUUCUUGGUAAUCUGACUGGAAGAAUAUUUUUAAGUAAUUGCUUAAUGAAAAUGUUGAAAUUGUCAGUGUUGUGAUAUUUUAACACAGAAAAUAUGUCUUUAAUUGCCUAAAGGACUAAAUAACAUGGUUGAGUCAGGGAUAUGAAAAUGAAUCAAGGAUAUCAUUGGGGGUGAGGAGAAAUUGUGAAUUCUGCA